GGCAACAUGGCCGAGUGGUCCAAGGCGAUAGACUUGAAUUGAUCCUUCAAUCGUUAUCUAUUAUCUUCGGAUGCGCAGGUUCGAACCCUGCUGUUGUCG
rfam:Colletotrichum salicis strain CBS 607.94 Scaffold_1161.1, whole genome shotgun sequence.